rnacentral:rRNA from 1 species
CCCUUAGAUGUUCUGGGCCGCACGCGCGCUACACUGACGAAUGCAACGAGCUUAUAACCUUGGCCGAAAGGUCUGGGUAAUCUCCAAAUUUCGUCGUGAUGGGGAUAGAUUAUUGCAAUUAUUAAUCUUCAACGAGGAAUGCCUAGUAAGCGCAAGUCAUCAGCUUGCGUUGAUUACGUCCCUGCCCUUUGUACACACCGCCCGUCGCUCCUACCGAUUGAAUGGUCCGGUGAAUUCUUCGGACUGCGGCUUUGACUCGAUUUCGGUCGAGGCGUUGCUGCGGGAAGUUGAUUAAACCUUACCAUUUAGAGGAAGGUGAAGUCGUAACA